GCUUAAGGGGGAGACUUACAGAGUGAGACUUCCCUACCCAUUGGACAUACUACGUUUCGUCUCCGGCCACGGCCCUGCAGAGGACCUGUGGACCUUUGAAUUCUACCCAUCUUCCGAGUGAAAAAAACAAUAAAUCAAAACUUUCAACAACGGAUCUCUGUUUCUGGCCUCUAAGAAUACCUCACCGAAAUGCGAUCCGUAAGUAAUGAAUUGCAUAAUUCGGUGAAUCAUCCAAUCUUUGAACGCACAUUGCGCCCGCCAUUAUUCUGGCGGGCAUGCCUGUUCAAGCGUCAUUUCAACCCUCAAGCACCUUCCGGAGCUUGGUGUUGGGGAUCAUGCCUGUUCCAGCGUCAUUUCAACCAUCCCCCAAAUUUACUGGUGUUGGCGAUGUAUCUUCCUCUGCGUACCAAAACACCUCUCUCUGGAUUCCUGUCGCGACCACCCUAUAAAACCUCUCUCUUUUUCGGGCUUGACGUCGAAUCCGGUCGGACUACCCUCUGAUCUUAAACCUAAACCUAUCAAUAAUCAGAGGAAAUUGGUACCU
rnacentral:rRNA from 1 species